rnacentral:rRNA from 1 species
UUGAGAUUUUAACACGAAGUGAGUGGCGAACGGGUGAGUAACACGUGGGUAACCUGCCCAGAAGUAGGGGAUAACACCUGGAAACAGAUGCUAAUACCGUAUAACAGAGAAAACCGCAUGGUUUUCUUUUAAAAGAUGGCUCUGCUAUCACUUCUGGAUGGACCCGCGGCGUAUUAGCUAGUUGGUGAGGUAAAGGCUCACCAAGGCAGUGAUACGUAGCCGACCUGAGAGGGUAAUCGGCCACAUUGGGACUGAGACACGGCCCAGACUCCUACGGGAGGCAGCAGUAGGGAAUCUUCCACAAUGGACGCAAGUCUGAUGGAGCAACGCCGCGUGAGUGAAGAAGGGUUUCGGCUCGUAAAGCUCUGUUGUUAAAGAAGAACGUGGGUAAGAGUAACUGUUUACCCAGUGACGGUAUUUAACCAGAAAGCCACGGCUAACUACGUGCCAGCAGCCGCGGUAAUACGUAGGUGGCAAGCGUUAUCCGGAUUUAUUGGGCGUAAAGCGAGCGCAGGCGGUCUUUUAAGUCUAAUGUGAAAGCCUUCGGCUCAACCGAA